CACGGUGGGUCGAGCCUCGCACGAGUAUUUUGUAGAAAGCGACGUCUCUGUUAACCGAGGAGAGGAUUAGAAUGAAAGGUCAGAUUAGGGAGAUAAUCUGUCAGUUGAGGCUGCACCAGUGAGUCACUGACAAAUGUUUUAGGGCAGGGAGCCCACAAGACUGACUCAUGUUCUGCAUCACAUGAUCCUUAUCUAUGUCAUAAUCUUUGACUGUUCACGCAACAGACGUGUACGAGUACCUCGAAAGUUUGUUUUUCCCACUUCACAAUGUCCGACAACUCGUGACACGAAGCAUGCCGUUUCCCGAGUCACAUGAAUAUCUGCCUUGUGUAACAACAUCCUUCCUCUCUUGAGCCUUGCACUCACUAACUUUGUUUUCCUCGCUUCGACAAUUUGGCUGCCAGUUGUUAACCUUUGCAGCAAAUUAGAUCUAACUGGUGGGAAGUGGCCACGGUUCUCUGGACGUCUCGCACAGGAACUGGGACAUCGCAAGAAAAUAGCUCCCAAGCGAGAAGGAGAGCAGGAGCUGUCUCACACCAGAACCUUUCCUCUGCUGAAGUCCAGAAUGGCCUCGUGUAUCUGGUGCAUCGUCUGGCUGCUGAUUCUGCUGUGCUUUGGCUGGCCACUCAGCAUCACCUUAGGUGGUCUCUAUGGCCUCAUUACCCCGCUCACCACCUGCCUGGGCCUGGACCGGCUCUCUGAUCUGCUUCUGGAAGGAGCCAACCUGGGCCGAACCUGUGCCAAUAACAUGAAACAUGGCAAGCCGCUGUGUUAACAUCUGCCCCGAGUGACCGCGAGUGAGCGACACGCGACGGCCAAAGGCAAGAUGGGUUCUUUUUCUACACAGGAAAUGCUUCACUUUGUUUGUUUGUGUGGAAACCUCCUGAGGUCGUUGGCAAUCACUGAGAAUUUAUGUAACAUAAAGGUCUGGAAAAUGGAUUCCUCUCUUCUGUUAACACGUCAUUAACCGUGGAUUUCACAUUUUUUUAUGGCUCUGUUUAUGGAGGGAAGUAGGCGACGUGUUGGUUGUGUGCGUUUGCUUCAUUCGCGAUGACCCUGCGCGGAGAAGAUAAGAACGGAAAUCGCAGUUUGACAAUGAAAAUGCUUAGACUUGUAAAUGACUGUAUGGAAACUUAUAAUGCGAUUAAACCUGCUUUGAACUUGC